rnacentral:lncRNA from 1 species
GGGUAUGCUUGGAUAGGAUAUUGAAAAUUUGCAAAAUAUUCCGACAAAAGUAAUUGACUCUACCAGGUAGAAAUCUUGCCUGCUACAUAAGACUGAUGGCCACAACAUGCCACAUGACACAUCUUCCUCGUAAAAUGAUGAGAGACCACCUCUUCAUCACAAAGAACAUAUGGCUUCAUAAUCCGGCAAGCUAAGACCAAUUGAUUUUCAUAAAACUUCCACAACACAUAACAUUACCAAUAGACGCCUAGAUAGAGACCACCAUGAAAAAAGGAACAAGGUCUUAUCCCUCUGACAAGAACCGGGAACAAACUGAAUAUGUAUGACAAGCAAACCAGGAAAAGCCACCAGCGAACUCCAACGACUCCGGAGAAGAAGCAGACUUUGGAAUCAAUACCAAUUUAAACAAAAAAAUCGGAACAAACUACCAACAACAAAGCCUAAAAAUGGAUGAAAGGCAACCAAUGAACUAAAGUCUGUGCACAGGACAAGGACAAGGCAAUAAAUGAUUCCAUUUCAAGAGAAUUAAACUAUCCAACAACGAACUGCUUGAACAUCUGCUAUAACCAAACAAACAAUUAAACAAACGACGAGAUCAAUGUUCACCAAAGGUAGACAGAGACAUAUAGAAAAAGAGCAUACAUGGGAAGCUAAUAAGUCACCAUCAGACCAGGAAAUGCUAACAGAAGACGGAGAGGUCCGAUAAGACUUGUCACUUUAGCGUUGGUGAAGAACUCAGUCACCAAAGAGAAACAAAUAUAAAUUAGACGGUGCUUGAGUAAAAAGAAGAGAAAUAUGGAGAAUCCUAUGAGAGCUGUUGUACUUUAACUACUCAUAAUUUUAUUUUCGCUCAUUUCAGUCUGGUAUUAUAAUAUGACAAUUUAAUUUCAACCAAAUUAUG